rnacentral:rRNA from 1 species
UCGGGAAUUUUGGGCAAUGGGCGAAAGCCUGACCCAGCAACGCCGCGUGAAGGAUGAAGUAUUUCGGUAUGUAAACUUCGAAAGGAUAGGAAGAAUAAAUGACGGUACUAUUUAUAAGGUCCGGCUAACUACGUGCCAGCAGCCGCGGUAAUACGUAGGGACCAAGCGUUGUUCGGAUUUACUGGGCGUAAAGGGCGCGUAGGCGGCAAUUCAAGUCAUCUGUGAAAUCUCCGGGCUUAACUCGGAACGGUCAGAUGAUACUGCUUUGCUAGAGUGCAGAAGGGGCAAUCGGAAUUCUUGGUGUAGCGGUGAAAUGCGUAGAUAUCAAGAGGAACACCUGAGGUGAAGACGGGUUGCUGGGCUGACACUGACGCUGAGGCGCGAAAGCCAGGGGAGCAAACGGGGAUUAGAUACCCUGGUAGUCCCUGAGCGGGCUGGCAAGGCGCAU